rnacentral:rRNA from 1 species
UACGUAGGGUGCAAGCGUUGUCCGGAAUUAUUGGGAGUAAAGAGCUCGUAGGCGGUCUGUCGCGUCGGCUGUGAAAACCCGGAGCUCAACUCCGGGCCUGCAGUCGAUACGGGCAGACUGGAGUUCGGCAGGGGAGACUGGAAUUCCUGGUGUAGCGGUGAAAUGCGCAGAUAUCAGGAGGAACACCGGUGGCGAAGGCGGGUCUCUGGGCCGAUACUGACGCUGAGGAGCGAAAGCGUGGGGAGCGAACAGG